UAGGGUUAGACACACAAAAUACUUCUUUCCUGACUUUCCUUUCCAAAGCCUCGCCGCCGCCGCUUUUCUUUCCUGCCUUUCCUUUCCAAGAUUAUAAUGCCAAAAUCUUCAGUACGUUUAAGCCUCCUCGCUCUUUGCUUAUUUUCUUGUAAGUUUGUAGUUUCCUUACUCUUAGUUUCAAUGCCAAAGGGGAAGAGAAUAAAAAAUUGAAUGAAAAGAAGGAGAUGGAGAUUUCAGAACCUGGUGCUAGAUCCUCCAAAGCGUGUGGCCAGCAUCAUUUCUAGCUCAAGGCUUGGGACUUUUCUUUGUUUUUCCCAAAUUUAUUCUCCUUCGUUAUAUAUAUUUUUUCUCAGAAAGCUCCUUCAUUCUCCGUUCAAAUCAGAUUAUUUUUUUAUAUUAUUGUUCCUUAUUUUUCUUACCCUUUUCAAAUCAGGUGGCUUUUUUGAUGUGGUUGCUCUUCAUCUUUUAAAAAAAAAAUCUACAAGAAACUGUUUAUCCUCCGUCAGUUCAGCCUUUGAAUAUGAUGGCGAGGCUUCUUCGAAAUGCUUCUUCUCUCGGAUGCCUCUAUUUUUGCAACCUCUCUCUCCGACUUUAUAGGAAAGUCUUGUUAGGGGCAUACACUCAACUCUCCUACUUUUCCUCCAAAAGGUAGAAGAAAAUCCAAGUCAAACGUCAAAGAAAGAUUUGGUGCUCAAGUACUAUCAGAUCACUGCAUCAUUUGGAAAAGGUUCUAUCAUGUGGCUUGGCCGCUCUGCCCCUGUCAAACAAGUUCCAGUUGUGUCCACAGCUUCAUUUGCUUUGGAUAUUGCAUUUGGGAUUGGAGGACUUCCAAAGAAACUUAAUGCGACAAUCCUGACAAGUGAUUUUACUAAAUUGGAUUUUGAAUCCUACAAUGGGCCUUCCAGAGGAUAUAAUCAAUUGGGGAGCAUUGGAUACAGCACUGAGUAGUUCUUUUUGAAGUUAAGAAAGCAGCAGUUUCACGUAAGCAAGAAUUGGCUUAGAUAGCAUACACUCAUCUUGAGGUUGUCACGGGAGAGCUUAGCAAAUCUUGCCAUGGGGACAGCAGAAACAAAAUUGCUUUUGGAUAGGGGAAAGAUGCAUUGUGCGUUUCAAGCUCUAUGCCAAUGUAAUUAGUUUAUCAUGAAAUUGUUAUAGGUUUUUUUUUGGUUAAUCUGUAACUAAAUUCCAUCAGACACAAACAAUUCCAUUAAAUGGAUCCACUUUGAAUAUGUACAAAUCAUUUU